GUGUGAUGAUAAUGAGUGCAAUAGAUUUAAAGAGAAUGCCGUUAUCUACUUUUUCGAAGACAGGAAACGAAUUUCAGAUUAGGUGGAAGCGAUGAUUACUGAUUACAGGCUUCCAUAGAAAACAUGAAAAAUUUUUUGUGUGAAUUCGUUCAUUUCAAUCGAAAUCGAGCUCAAACCUUACCAGAGAGAAAAAAAUCGCAUCCUCAUGAUUAAUUGGUGGGUGGCAAUUUCGGUCAGUAAUGUGAAUUUUAUCAACUGCGAAGAUUCUAAGAUGCACUAAAAAUCAUACAGGGAUACUUUGUUUUUUAUGCACUAUGAAAGGCGAAGAUUUUUUCACAACUUCUCCCUCCGAUGGUCAAGGGUUUAUGUACCUUUUCAUGUCAGUUUUUGUGAAAAAAAUAAAAUCUUCAUGUUCAGUUUUAUAAUUUUUUUUUGGAAAUGAUGCUUUAAUCGGAAAAAUUUAUGAGGAAUUUUUUUUCUGGUUAAAAAAAUUCUAAAAACUUUUCCUUGAUUCAAGUGAUGAGCUAAGGGCUGUUUUCAAGUAAAAGAUUUCGAGUUGAAGAAAAUUAGAGAAAAAUCGGUGAAAGUAUUCUUGAAAAGCAAGUUGCUUGUUUGUUUUGUUUCAUUUUUCCAAAUAUUGACCACAUUUUGACUUCAUUAAGGAUACAAAGAGAACAGCAACGUUGAAAUUUGGACUCUUUACUACAUUUUUUUUUUUUAAACUGAAUAGUGCCCAGUUUUGCAGGGGAGGGGGUCCCUCUUGACCCCGUUAGUUCGCCGCACUUUUUUAGUCAUUUCAAUAGAUACGAUUUUUUUUUAAUUUCUGGGAAAGUUAAUUUUUAAUUUUU